UACGUAGGGGGCUAGCGUUGUCCGGAUUUAUUGGGCGUAAAGAGCGUGUAGGCGGCCAGGUAGGUCUGCUGUGAAAACUCGAGGCUCAACCUCGAGACGUCGGCGGAAACCAUCUGGCUAGAGUCCGGAAGAGGAGAGUGGAAUUCCUGGUGUAGCGGUGAAAUGCGCAGAUAUCAGGAAGAACACCCGUGGCGAAGGCGGCUCUCUGGGACGGUACUGACGCUGAGACGCGAAAGCGUGGGUAGCAAACAGG
rnacentral:rRNA from 1 species